GAGAACAUGGGAUAAUUUUAUGAGGAGUUACAAACAUGUUGUUUGAUACGCCUGUUCAGCUGAUUUGUCAAUGCAAAUAUCUUAACAGAAAAUCAAUUGCAGCAACUGAAUUGAUGUAAACACUGCUGAGACAACCUACUAAAGUUCAAAUAAAGCAUAAGAAAGGGAAAUUAAGUGACACUAAAUCUGGCAUGGUUGUUGGUGCCAGACAGGCUGCUUUGAGUAUUUUGAAAAAUGCCAAUCUGUUGGGAUUUUCCAACACAACCAUCUAUGGGGUUUACAACAACUGGUUUGAAAAAGAGAAACUAUCCAGUAACCUCAACAUUUAGAUGAGAGCAUGGAUCCAUCCUGUCUUGUAUCAAAAGGACAAAGCACUGUGUGGACUUACAUAUUCUCCCCGUGUCUGCGUGGGUUCUCUCCAGGUAUUCUGGCUUUCCCCCAAGACAUGCAGUUAGUGGGUUUGGGUGACUCAAAAUUGCCCAACUGAAUAUUGUUGGGUUGUUUUGGUUUUUUUGUCUUUCAGUGUUAGCCCUACAUCAGGCUGGCGACCUUCCUCUUGCCCUAUGCUAGCUCAGAAACCCUGUGACCCUGAUAAGGAUAAAUGGAAGAGAAUUGAUGGAUUGAAAAGGUCGAAAGCACGAUGGUUAAGUGGAAACUGCAUCCUGGACAGAAACAGCUGCAUUAUGCUGCUAGGACAACUUCAGUUCUUUCCAAGUAUCCGCAGACAGCAUGCUAACAUUGAGCUAGCCAGCCAGGAUGCUAAUGUUAAGCUAGCCAAAAACCCAGAGUGAUUUUAAAGCUGACUGAAUGCCGACCCCAGCCCAGCAGCCAGACCCUGAACUUCAACAGGGGCUGUGGCCUCCACUUGGCUCCACCUCCUAAACUAUGAGACAGUUUCUGGAAAGAGGACACAUGUCAGGAUGCCAGGAGGCAGAAUAAAAGUCCAAAUAAAUCUUCAUGUGCAGAGGUCAUGCAGAGCGAGGCAAACAAUCAAGGACCAAAUUCCAAAAACAGCAAAUGAUAAACGAGUAAGCAGGCCAAAGGGAACAUAAGAGAACCAAGGACUACAAGGACGACGUGAUGAGUGUUAUAAACACAAGUGAAAUGGAAAACUGGCGUACUAAAUAGUAGCAUAUGGGUAAUUUAAAGCUUCUGUUUCUGUUUAUUGCAGGUUAUUAUGCACAA